rnacentral:lncRNA from 1 species
ACAGAUCCCCCUUUGAAAAUCCUAGCCGCCUGGUCUCUUUCCUCACUCGCCCAUUCCCUUUUACGCAAAAAGAAGCCGAGAAUUCGCCAUCAUGCACACACAUCUCACCUAUGAAAAAAGUUAAAACAAAAUCCCUGAAUUCCCAUUUUUCUACAUCCGGAUCUGAAGAAGAAAAACGAAAAAAAAAGAUUAAAAAGGUUUUCUGAUUUUUGUUGUGUUACUUGGAGAAUUUAUGGGUUUCUCAUUUGUUUUUGGAUUGAAGUUGAGGUCGACAUUGUUGUUCUUCUGCGGUUUGCUAUCAAAAUCGUAGCUGAACUUCCUUUAUCUCCAUUUCUGCCCUUUAUCAACUGUUUCAAGCUCUAUUUGUCAAGUAUUUUAGGUACACAUUUCUGAAUCUGUACUAUUUCUCCAUAAAAAUGGCUGAAAUCAUGAAUGAAUUUGUUUCUGAUGUUCCAUCUCCAUUUAUGUGACUGUUUUUCUUAAUAAAUUGCUCAUUAUAUUUAUAUAUGAUUUUGUUAACGAACCAAAGGGACGGCUGCCCGUUUCAAUUAAGUUUAGACCAUUGGAGUCUUGUUAAAUAUUAGUUAAUUGAGAUUAUUUUUUUUUUUCGAAAUUGUUAAUGGGCUUUAGGUGUAUGCAUACUAGUUAACAGUAAUAUUUAUCACAGUCUCUACUUCGUUGCCUAAUGCUAAAAUUUGGUGUAUGUAUAUUUUUUACAGGGAUCUACUCACUUAUGGAUUAAGCUGUUGUUUGAAUUUUGAAGCUGCAAAAAUUCAAGCAUUGUUAGGCGUUAGCUGCAGGACAAACAUUUCUGUGUAGUCUGCUCACUUAUGGAUUAAUCAUUUUGAAGUAUGUAUUCUGGACUCACUUUGAAUAUAGACUAGAAUUUUAUCAUUUCAGAAUUAAUGAGGGAGCAUUGACUUUUUCUUUGCAGUUGUGGGCAGAGGAAAGACAUAUGUGUUCUGGACUCAUCUGUAAUGUAGUUUGCUUUGGGAUGUAAUGGACUCAUCUAUUGUAUUCUAUAGACUGGAAUGUAGUCUGAUGAGCAUAGGAAUUUUAGUUUGAGUCACAAUGGUCAGCAAACAAUUAAUGCACGGAAUAUAGAUUGAAUUAGGCCGAUAAACUGCCCGAUAAGAGCUAAACCGAUACCAAUCCGCCCGAUAUCUUAUCGGUUGGCUAGCGGAUUAAUACAUUUAAAAGCCGAUAACCGAUAAGCCAAACCGUUAAGAGUAAAUAAUCGCCCAAUACACCCGAUAAGCAGCCCUAAAUGACAUGUGUAAUUUGUCAUAGAAAUUUGAUACAUAUAAAUAACAAAAGAAAAAAAAAUACAUUUAAAGAAAAAAAACCCAUUCCUUACUUUUCUUUCCAACAAAUUAAACACAAAAUACAAAUAAGAAACAACAAAGAACUCCUCUCAUGUGACCUUUCGUCGGAAAAUUAAUCUCCAAUCAAAACUGAAAGAAAGGAUUCUAUUGGAAUCUUCAACCUUCUCUCUCCACUAUUUUCUUGAUUAUAAAUUCGGGCUUAUAUCUACUGAUUCAAAUAAUAGGUUGUUGUUUAUGUGUUUCUAUUGGAAGGAAGGUGUUUUCGAAGUUGUGUUUGUUGCAUUUUUUUUGCUUCUUUCAGUUGGGCUCGGGACUGGUAUUGGGUCGAUGAAACUAGGCUGAGCUUCGGAGGUUUUGGACAGUGGAGUGUUAUGGUGAAAGGUGAUAGUUCAG